GACGACAGCGUCGUAAUGUGGUAGAAAAAUAAAGCAGUUUUUCACCACCCAUCGGGCAUUCAAACAAAAGUUAGGUCAGGUGUCAGGAUUUCUACCAUUUUGAAUGGUCUUUUGAAUCCAGAUUAUCGCCGAAACAACAUAUAAGUAUUCACCAGGUUUGAUCAUUUCACUAACAGUUGAAUCUGUCAUCUACCACCUGAUAUAUUUCUGGAAUGGUGUCGUUCAGAGAUCAUUUACUCGUUCGACUACAAGUUUAACAUACACACUGGUUAACAUGCUAUCUUUUUCCAAGACUUUUGUAUAGUUUCAGAAUGAGAUAGGAGGUCAUCUAUUUAAAAGCUAUUGUUUUGCUGCGAAUUAAAACAAAAGUAUGCUGUAUGCCACAUUAAAGGUGAGUUUUUUUUAAUUUCUUUGAAAUUACUAUUACCUACUUUAGUGUAACUUGUAUUUUGCAAUGAAUGAACAAUUGGAGGUCAUGGUAAGGAGCUUCUUAUGUUUAUGAUGAGAUAUCACUCUGAAUUAUAAUGGUAUGUUGAAACAAUACUUUAAGGUCAAGCAGCCUGGUGCCAUACUGUACACCGUUAGCUGAAUUCCCGAAACCUCAAGUAUAUAAACGUACUACCAGUGCUUCCAGUUCUUAUAUUUUAAAAAAUUUUCAUCAACUUUUGAGGCAGAAAACCUUUGUUACUUUUAUCUGAAUGCAUCACAUCGGAAUUUUUUUAUCAACUGCAUACUAAACAAACCAAAUUGCGUGCGUGCGUGCCGAGAUAAGAAAUGUAAUACAUAAAAUAAUUGUAUUUCAAA